GGGCUGGUAGCUCAAUGGUAGAGCAGCGGCCUUUUAAGCCGUUGGUUCCCGGUUCGAGCCCGGGCCAGCCCACCA
rnacentral:tRNA from 1 species